rnacentral:lncRNA from 1 species
GUUUUGCGCUUAUGGAUUAUAACGACAAAACGGGAUUGCCUCUCAGUGGACCUCCACACGUGUUUGACAAAACUCUCCGAAGAUGACAUCCUGACGUAGGUUCUUGUGUGGGAGCUGAGGUCUUUUCCCAGACACAACAGAAGCCAGAGCCUGUGGUUGAUUUCAUGACUUCCUCCUCAUUGUUUGCCUGUCUGCGUGACUGGAAACCGGCAGUGACAGACCGAUGACUCCGGCCUCUCUUUAACCAGGCUUGUGGAGAAACUGGACCUGGCUCCCUCUGAAGUAUUGGAGUUCAGCAGCAAAGAGCAUCAGGAAGCAUUACCACAUCACUCACAGUUCAGCUCUCCGGCAAUGCCCUGACCUCCUGAACCCUGACCUUAAAUGACCUCUCUUCGUACUCUCGGUUUAACUAGCUCAGCGGCUCUCAGUAUCAGCCUUCAGCGUGGGAACCGCACAUAACUGAUGGCCGAGUGUGGAGGAUAGUCGUGUUCUGGUUCUGAAUGAUACCUCUGGGCUAAAGCGGGAAAGCGUGGACAUAUCUCUCCAUCUGCUUCCCUGUGACAUCAAAGGAAAAGCCUUGGAUUCUACGGCCUAUAUAUAAAACCUGCAGGAAGACAUGUGUUAUUCUGGCUCUCUUCCUGUAACCUAAGGCUGAUCUCGAACACUCUUUUUCUCAUUCUCUCUCACUUUGUCUGCUUUGUGCUGAAGUGGACACUCUUAUGACUAAGUGUUGUCAUUUUAUGUGCUUCUUUCAUGUUAUACAGUCUUCUUAAAGUGAUAGUUCACCCAAAAAUUCUUUCUUCAUUUACUCAUCUUCUACUUCUGCUCAACCGGUUUGAGUUUCUUUCUUCUGUCAAAUGCCAAUAAUGAAGAUAUUAAAGAAUGCUGGUAAGAAGCAGCCACUGACAUUUUGGUUUCUACUGUGAAUGUCAGUGCUGCUGGUUUGCAAUAUUGUUCAGAGUAUGUACAGUACUAAAUAGUAAGGGAGUUUUUUAUUUUAGGAUGAACUUCUGGAUUAACCUUUUAUUUUUGGAUCUUGGGGUUAAAAGUACAGCUACCUAAAAAGGAAAAUCCUGUUGUUGUUUUUUUUCACCCACAUGCCAUAAACAGAAAAAUACACACAGAGAAAAUUACAUUUGCUGCUUAUUUUAAUUACAGUUUGAAAAUGUUCAGUAUUUUUGUUCAUUAUUGUUCAGUCGGCUUAAAUGUGUAUAAAAAAAGUCUGUAAGAGCCAUAGUUUGAUUUAAUACAACUUAUUAUUAGUGCUCUUAUUCAUGUACAGUUUACACUUGUUUACAUGUUUACUUGUGUGAAUUUGUUGAUUUCUCCCUAUUCUUUUGGUUGAAACGGUUUGCUGUAUUAUGUAUUAUUAUUAAGUUUUAUUAUGAUAUAGAAAAAUGAAAGAAACAAGACCGGAGUUUAUUGUCAUGCUGUUUGAAAAUUCAGUAAACAUCUUUAAAUGGAAAGAAACCCAAUUCAAUUUAUUGUCGGACUGAUUUUGAAAUUUUGAGUUUAAAUAGUCCUUAUUUUAUGUUAUUUAUUAAAUUAUUUUUGUUGAUAUUACUAACUGAGUAGUAAAUUUAUAAUUUCCUUCCCAGCAUAAUUUUUACUAAGUAAAGGGUUAGACCUAUUUAAUCUCCAUUUAUUUUAAAUAUAUGGAAGAGUUUCAAUUGAAGUUUUGAGUUCGGAGGUUAUUCCUAUGCAAUAAUUAUUGUUUCUUCACUCAACAAUUCAUUUGUUAUUACCAGUUUGAGAUCAGUCUCUUUUUACUUGUUCAAUCCAUAUGUUAUAUAUGGAACAAAAUAAUAAUUUUAAACUGUAAUUUUGUUUGUCGAAAUUAGAUGAUUAAGAUGACUAAAUUUGCUAAAUAAUUCAAAUAAAAGUGAUGAAAUCUUGUUGGUUCAGAA